UGGGACGUCGCCAAGUGGUAAGGCACCUGCCUUUGGAGCAGGUAUUCCCAGGUUCGAAUCCUGGCGUCCCAG
rnacentral:tRNA from 1 species